CCCGGGAGCGGGGAGCCACCAGGU
rnacentral:piRNA from 1 species